UGCCGCUGAACCAUAAAUGCAGGUUGAUAAAUUCACAAGAGGCUGAACCAUGGUGCUAAUGAUAGGUAAAAGCUCCACAAAAUUAAUUGGUGCUGCAACAUAAUACUUAUUUUUCACAUGAGAUGUUGGAGCUGUGUAAACAGGAAAAAAUGCAAGAGAAUGAGCAAAAAAACAGUGGUACAAAUUAAAGAUAAUCUAGAACUCUUGUUCAAUCAUACGGUCAUAUAAGUGUCGAUGAAUACUGAAAAGGCAAGAGAUACAUCAUCCGCGUAGUAAUUGGAAACACAAAGACACAAAGUUUUACCUAGAAACCUGAAGCACGCCUUUCUAGACAUGGCAAACUCUUGGACGUAGAUCCUCUAAUCUACUUGACGCCCUUGCAGGCAUUAUUGCACUUGUGUAUGUUUAGUCUACCAGCAGAAGCGUUUUUUUACAUUAUUGCACUUCUGUAUGUGAUGUAUAAUACUUUACAUUAGUAGUGAAAAAUUCAGCUGAAAGGGCACACCCCAGCAAUCCUCAUCUUGUGAACGCUGAGAAACUUCGGUGGUAUGAGAAAAAACUGAAGACAACUUCCUUCCGUUAGUUUCAGUAUAUGAAGGCAGCAUUAGUUCAGGGAUUGUCACAUUAGUAGUUAAUAUGAUGGAGUUUGUACAUCGAAAUACAUGUCCACGUAUAACUUAUUUGCAGGUUUGUAUUAACUGAUAUAGCUCUAGAAAACACACUAUUAGUGGGGAGGAGGUGAACAACAUUUACCAAAAGCUUAACAAUCUAAAAUAAAUAUGUGGUUAAGAUUACCAUUAACAUGCAUCUUGCUGCCAUUUCAUGGAUGUUAACAUUACCAAAAAAACCCUGGAAAAAUAGCUGCAGAACAGGGAAGAGCAAAAGACCUGAUGUGAGUUCACCUUUUGUAGUCCAUAUGCACUUACAUAACCAACAGAUAUAGUGACCUGUUGAAACAUUAAUAUUCCUUGUCAAAAGCUCCAAAGCAAAGAAAAUCAACAGUCGAUUGUGAGGUCUAUAUGGAAUCAAAUAACUCCCAUAAACUAAGAAAGGCAGAGUAAAACAUCAGUCUGGGAUUCAAAAAACGAACCCUUGAGUCGUAUCCACACCAUAUGGUACACAAUUCCUCUCACGUAAGGUGAGGCUUGUGCAUAUAUACUCAACUUCAUCAUGGGAACGUGUCUGCUUGUGUACAAAAUAAUAAAGAACCAAUCGAAUCCUACACAAUGAUAAAUGCCUGUUUAUUAUUCUUAUAAAACAUUAUUUUACUUACUGGAUAAUUACACGAGAAAACAUGGAAUAAGUACAGCUAGCUCUGUAAUUGUAAAGGAAAUAAGUUGAGUUCUGUAUGUACUGGAAAAAUUAUACAGAUUUAUCUGUCUUUUUAAUGCGGGUUUUACGGAUAAAAGGACAACACUUGUACAAUCAAUCAAAAGUUAGAUGACUGCAUACACGCCCCAUACUACAGACUGUGCUGUCUAGUUUGCAGUUUGCACAUCAAGAUAGACCUAAUCAUGGCAUGGAACUAACAAAAGCUAGCGGCAGAUAAUACAAAACUGUUACUUCCAAACUUCACCCUCGUUCAUUACAGACUUACAGUCACACACCAAUUUCAGUUCAAGAUGAGCUUCCACAUCGCAGCCUGAUCGAAAAAUAAAUUCUACAGAGGGAAGAAGGGGGCAAAGGGAAUCGUGCGUGCUUACAGGUGAACUGCAACUUGCGGGACUGGGUCUCGACGACGCCCUACCUCAUGGCCACCACGAAGAGGAUCAGAUGCUGGUGAUGGUCCAAUUCAAGGCCAUGUAUCUCUGGGCGUCCCUCUCAGGCAGCCGCCGGUGCAAGAACCCGGUCAACAUCUCGGAGGCCCCCAUGGAAAGAGCCGCGGCAGUCCUCCUCGACGGUUGGGAAAGAGGAUGCCGGGACAUAGCCUCCGCUGCUGCUCCGAGACGGAAUCAUGAUGCGGUGAUGGACACGCGGACAGAACGG
rnacentral:lncRNA from 1 species